rnacentral:rRNA from 1 species
UGGGGAAUAUUGCACAAUGGGCGCAAGCCUGAUGCAGCCAUGCCGCGUGUAUGAAGAAGGCCUUCGGGUUGUAAAGUACUUUCAGCGGGGAGGAAGGUGUUGUGGUUAAUAACCUCAGCAAUUGACGUUACCCGCAGAAGAAGCACCGGCUAACUCCGUGCCAGCAGCCGCGGUAAUACGGAGGGUGCAAGCGUUAAUCGGAAUUACUGGGCGUAAAGCGCACGCAGGCGGUCUGUCAAGUCGGAUGUGAAAUCCCCGGGCUCAACCUGGGAACUGCAUCCGAAACUGGCAGGCUUGAGUCUUGUAGAGGGGGGUGGAAUUCCAGGUGUAGCGGUGAAAUGCGUAGAGAUCUGGAGGAAUACCGGUGGCGAAGGCGGCCCCCUGGACAAAGACUGACGCUCAGGUGCGAAAGCGUGGGGAGCAAACA